rnacentral:rRNA from 1 species
GACGAACCGAGCGAACGUUGUUCGGAAUCACUGGGCUUAAAGGGCGCGUAGGCGGAUUCUCAAGUCCGGGGUGAAGUCCCACAGCUCAACUGUGGAACUGCCUCGGAUACUGGGGGUCUCGAGGGUGGCAGGGGUAUGCGGAACUAUCGGUGGAGCGGUGAAAUGCGUUGAUAUCGAUAGGAACUCCGGUGGCGAAGGCGGCAUACUGGUCCACUUCUGACGCUGAGGCGCGAAAGCCAGGGGAGCAAACGGG